GACGAACGCUGGCGGCGUGCCUAAUACAUGCAAGUAGAACGCUGAAGGAGGAGCUUGCUUCUCUGGAUGAGUUGCGAACGGGUGAGUAACGCGUAGGUAACCUGCCUGGUAGCGGGGGAUAACUAUUGGAAACGAUAGCUAAUACCGCAUAACAGUAGAUGUUGCAUGACAUUUGCUUAAAAGGUGCAAUUGCAUCACUACCAGAUGGACCUGCGUUGUAUUAGCUAGUUGGUGGGGUAACGGCUCACCAAGGCGACGAUACAUAGCCGACCUGAGAGGGUGAUCGGCCACACUGGGACUGAGACACGGCCCAGACUCCUACGGGAGGCAGCAGUAGGGAAUCUUCGGCAAUGGACGGAAGUCUGACCGAGCAACGCCGCGUGAGUGAAGAAGGUUUUCGGAUCGUAAAGCUCUGUUGUAAGAGAAGAACGGGUGUGAGAGUGGAAAGUUCACACUGUGACGGUAUCUUACCAGAAAGGGACGGCUAACUACGUGCCAGCAGCUGCGGUAAUACGUAGGUCCCGAGCGUUGUCCGGAUUUAUUGGGCGUAAAGCGAGCGCAGGCGGUUAGAUAAGUCUGAAGUUAAAGGCUGUGGCUUAACCAUAGUACGCUUUGGAAACUGUUUAACUUGAGUGCAAGAGGGGAGAGUGGAAUUCCAUGUGUAGCGGUGAAAUGCGUAGAUAUAUGGAGGAACACCGGUGGCGAAAGCGGCUCUCUGGCUUGUAACUGACGCUGAGGCUCGAAAGCGUGGGGAGCAGACAGG
rnacentral:rRNA from 1 species